rnacentral:rRNA from 1 species
AAAACAAUUAUUAUAGUUUAAGUAAUUUAUAAAAAAAUAAAAAUUUUAAGUAAUUAAAAAGAAAAAAAAUAUCUAAAAGAAAAACUAAAAUUUUGUUCCUUGUGUAUCAUGAUUCAUAGAAAUAUAAAAAAAGUUUUUUGUCUCGAAAAAAAAAGAACUAGAAAUCAUUAUGCUUUAUGUUUCAUAAUAAAGAAAAAAGAAAUCUAGAAAUAAAAAAUUUUCAUUUUUUUUGAUAUCUAGUUAUUUUAGAAAGAAAUUUAAUUUCUACAAUUUUUUAAAAGAAAAUUGAAAAAGUUUUUAAGGGAUUAUCUUUAAAAACAAAACUAAUUAAGUAAUUCAUAUAAAAACAGGAAUUAAAUUAACCAAAAAAAUUAACCAUUUUAAUUAAACAAAAAAGAUUUUAUAAAAAUUAGUAUUAUAUAAAAAUAAAAAAACAAAAAUAAAAUAAAAAAAUUAUGAAAUUAGUAAAUUCAAAAAAAGUUUUUUAGGAACUCGGCAAAUAAAACUAUCCGAAUGUUUAACAAAAACAUUGUCUAUAGAAUUUAUUAUAGAUAAAGCCUGCUCAGUGAAAUUUUAACAGCCUUCUUUAAGCUAAGGUAGCAUAAUAAUUUGUCUCUUAAUUAGAGGCUAGAAUGAAAGGUAAAACGAGAUAGAAACUUUCUUAAAAAUUAAAAUUAAAUUUUUCCUUUAAGUUAAAAGACUUAAAUUUAUUUAAAGGACGACAAGACCCUAUAGAACUUAAAAUUUUCAAAAAAUAAAAGAAAGAAAAAAUUUUACUGGGGAAGUAAAAAAAUAGAAAUUUUUUUUAAAAAAAACAAUUUAAAGAAUUUAAGAUCCUUAAAAAAGAAAAAAGAAAAAGUUACCUUAGGGAUAACAGAGUUAAAUUUUUUGAGAGACCAAAUCGAAAAAAAAUAUUGCUACCUCGAUGUUGAAUUAAGAUAAAUAUUAAUAGAAGAAAAUUAAUUAAUUAGGUCUGUUCGACCUUGAAAUCUUACAUGAUUUGAGUUAAGACCGGCGUAAGCCAGGUUGGUUUCUAUCCUUAAAUUAAUUCUUUUUUUUAGUACGAAAGGACCAAAAAAAAUAAAAUUUUUAACAACCAAAUACAAAAUAAUUAAAAUUAUUUUAGUAAUCUACCAUUGGUU